GGGCCCGCACAAGCGGUGGAGCAUGUGGUUUAAUUCGAUGAUACGCGAGGAACCUUACCAGGGCUUAAAUGUAGUCUGACAGGGGUGGAAACACCCCCUCCUUCGGGCAGAUUACAAGGUGCUGCAUGGUUGUCGUCAGCUCGUGCCGUGAGGUGUCAGGUUAAGUCCUAUAACGAGCGCAACCCCUGCCGUUAGUUGCCAGCAUGUAAUGAUGGGAACUCUAACGAAACUGCCAGUGCAAACUGUGAGGAAGGUGGGGAUGACGUCAAAUCAUCACGGCCCUUACGUCCUGGCUACACACGUGCUACAAUGGCCGGUACAGAGGGAAGCUACCCCGUAAGGGGAUGCGGA
rnacentral:rRNA from 1 species